AGAGUUUGAUCAUGGCUCAGGACGAACGCUGGCGGCGUGCCUAACACAUACAAGUCGAACGGGGAUUGGCGGAAGGGUAACCGGAAGCUGAUCCUAGUGGCGGACGGGCGAGUAACGCGUGAGCAACCUACCUUGUACUGGGGGAUAACGUCGGGAAACCGGCGCUAAUACCGCAUAACACUAUGGUAUUGCAUGAUACUGUAGUCAAAGCUCCGGCGGUACGAGAUGGGCUCGCGUCCAAUUAGCUAGUUGGUGAGGUAACGGCCCACCAAGGCGACGAUUGGUAGCCGAACUGAGAGGUUGAUCGGCCGCAUUGGGACUGAGACACGGCCCAGACUCCUACGGGAGGCAGCAGUGGGGAAUAUUGCGCAAUGGGGGAAACCCUGACGCAGCGACGCCGCGUGAAGGAAGAAGGCCUUCGGGUUGUAAACUUCUUUGAUCGGGGACGAAGAUGACGGUACCCGAGGAACAAGCCACGGCUAACUACGUGCCAGCAGCCGCGGUAAUACGUAGGUGGCGAGCGUUGUCCGGAAUUACUGGGCGUAAAGGGCGCGUAGGCGGGGCGGCAAGUCAGAUGUGAAAUUCCGGGGCUUAACCCUGGCGCUGCAUCUGAAACUACUGUUCUUGAGUGCUGGAGAGGAAAGCGGAAUUCCCAGUGUAGCGGUGAAAUGCGUAGAGAUUGGGAGGAACACCAGUGGCGAAGGCGGCUUUCUGGACAGUAACUGACGCUGAGGCGCGAAAGCGUGGGGAGCAAACAGGAUUAGAUACCCUGGUAGUCCACGCUGUAAACGAUGGAUACUAGGUGUAGGAGGUAUCGACCCCUUCUGUGCCGGAGUUAACACAAUAAGUAUCCCGCCUGGGGAGUACGGCCGCAAGGUUGAAACUUAAAUGAAUUGACGG
rnacentral:rRNA from 1 species